rnacentral:rRNA from 1 species
AGAGUUUGAUCCUGGCUCAGAUUGAACGCUGGCGGCAUGCCUUACACAUGCAAGUCGAACGGCAGCGGACCUUCGGGUGCCGGCGAGUGGCGAACGGGUGAGUAAAGCAUCGGAACGUACCCGGAAGUGGGGGAUAACUAUCCGAAAGGAUAGCUAAUACCGCAUAUUCUGUGCGCAGGAAAGCAGGGGACCGCAAGGCCUUGUGCUUCCGGAGCGGCCGAUGUCAGAUUAGCUAGUUGGUGAGGUAAAGGCUCACCAAGGCGACGAUCUGUAGCGGGUCUGAGAGGAUGAUCCGCCACACUGGAACUGAGACACGGUCCAGACUCCUACGGGAGGCAGCAGUGGGGAAUUUUGGACAAUGGGGGCAACCCUGAUCCAGCCAUGCCGCGUGAGUGAAGAAGGCCUUCGGGUUGUAAAGCUCUUUCGGCCGGGA